rnacentral:rRNA from 1 species
UACGUAGGGUGCAAGCGUUGUCCGGAAUUAUUGGGCGUAAAGGGCUCGUAGGCGGUCCAUCGCGUCGGGAGUGAAAAGCUGGGGCUUAACCCCAGUCCUGCUUCCGAUACGGGUGGACUAGAGGUAGGCAGGGGAGAACGGAAUUCCUGGUGUAGCGGUGAAAUGCGCAGAUAUCAGGAAGAACACCCGUGGCGAAGGCGGUUCUCUGGGACGGUACUGACGCUGAGACGCGAAAGCGUGGGGAGCGAACAGG